rfam:Zea mays cultivar B73 chromosome 7, whole genome shotgun sequence.
CCCAUUGAUGAAUAAGAACUAGUCUCCUACAUCCUUGCGGGACUAGAUGAAGAAUACAACUGUGUGGUCUCUGCCCUUGUUGCACAGAAGGAUUCUGUCUCAGUUGGGGAGGCAUACUCGCAACUCCUCAAUUUUGAGA